rnacentral:rRNA from 1 species
UACGGGGGGAGCAAGCGUUGUUCGGAUUUACUGGGCGUAAAGGGCGCGUAGGCGGCCUGUGCAAGUCAGUUGUGAAAUCUCCGGGCUUAACUCGGAACGGUCAACUGAUACUGCUCGGCUAGAGUCCGGAAGAGGAGAGUGGAAUUCCUGGUGUAGCGGUGAAAUGCGCAGAUAUCAGGAAGAACACCCGUGGCGAAGGCGGCUCUCUGGGACGGUACUGACGCUGAGACGCGAAAGCGUGGGGAGCGAACAGG